GCACGACUAAACCACUUCUGGCACACGGAACACCAUGACAAGUGCCAGAGCGCACGGAAACGCUAUUUACCUUCCCGCCGCAGUGGUACCUAUUUGUCUACUCAUGCUGGUGUGCUUUUGAACUGCUAGGUUGGCAGGAGCUGGGACAGAGCAACAGCUCACCCCACUGUGCGGAUUCGAACUGUCGACCUUUCAGCAAGCGCAAGAGGCUCGUGGUUUGGACCACAGCGCCACCCGCAUCCAACUGCGCAGGUAAGCUGUAGUGAGGCUGGUGUCAGGAGGGUGACUCUGAUCCACUACACCAGCUGCUACGCAGCCCAGCAGUGCUCCUUUCCUCGAAUAACAAGUGCUGCGUGGCUCUCAAAUCUCUCAGUAAAACGUAGCCUUAGAAGUAGAACGGAAAUGAAUCGGUUGCUCCCUCCCACCGCAAUUCUCUUCAGAGGUCUCACUUUAUGGCUUUUGAUGGCAAAUAUAAUAUUCUCUAAAUAUUCUCCAGAUAUUAAUAUAUUCAACGACUGUUUGAAGUACAGAACAUCGGCAUCUGAUACUUUGCACUAGCGUACAGAGCCAGCUUUUCUCUGCUCAAAUUGAAACACUCUGAAAAGCAGUCAAACAGCUUUGCAUUCUCUCGCCUGGGGGAAGCUUUGGGGUGGGGUGGCGGUGGGGGGAGGAGGAGGGGAGGAGAAUGUAUCUGGGUUUAAUACAGAGUUCACCAGGUUUUUUAGUAUUUUUGUUUAUACAUUUCAUUAAUUUUACAAUCAUUUUAACAUUUUCAAAGCUUGAUUUCCUUCCCCCUCUUUUUGCAACUCCUUAAAUUUAUUUUUAAAUAUCUUCUGCAUAUCCAAAUUCAUUUCAUUUGCUCAUUUAAUUAUCUACUUUAAAUAUAUACUCUUAUGAAGCUGUAGGUUGUUACAGUAAUCCUGCCAAUCUGCUUGCAAUUUACCUGUAAAUAUUCAAUAAACCAUUUCCAUUCUUAUAUAAAAAGAAUGUUAACUCGGUUUCUUAUUCUUCUGGCAAGUUUCGCCAUUUCUGCAUAUUCCAUAAGUUUUUGUAUCCAUUCUUCCUUUUCUUGGGCUUCUGCUUCUUUCCAUUUUGGGGCAAGUCACAUUCUUGCCGCUGUAGUCGCAUACAUAAAUAAAUUUCUAUACAAUUUAGGUAGUUCUGUCCCUAUAAUUCCCAAAAGAAAAGCUUCUGGUUUUUUUUACAAAGGUUAUUUUGAACAUCCUUUUCAAUUCAUUAUACAUGAUUUCCUAGUAAGCUUUAACCUUACUACAAGACCACCCCAUAUGAUAAAAAGAACCUUCUUUCUCUUUACAUUUCCAACACUUGUUUGAUUUAGAUUUACACAUUUUUGCCAGUUUACUCGGUGUUAGAUACCAACAAUAUAUCACUUUCAUGUAAUUUUCUCUUAAACCAUAACAUGCUGAGAAUUUUAUAUCCCUAUUCCACAAUCAUUCCCAUGCUUCUAUGUCUAUAUUAUAAGCAGUAUCUAUUGCCCAGUGUAUCAUUGAGGAUUUUACUUGCUCAUCCUUUGUCUCCCAUUCCAACACUAUUUUAUGCAUUUUAGACAACACUUUUACAUUCCAUUCCAACAGGUUGUGAUAUUUGUUCCCCAAACCCUCAUAUCCUGUCUUUCUUAAAUACUUCAUUAAAAUGAUGAUAUUGUAACCAUGUUGUUGAUUUCCCUGACAAUUCCUUAAAUUCUUUCAAUUAAUACUCUCCUCUCUCUGAUAGCACCACUGUUGAGAGGGGAAGACAUUGGAGGCUGGUGCCUUUGGGGAAGGAGGGCUGACAGUAGGUGGAGCCAGAGAGCCAAUGGCAGGCAGAACCCACUUAUUCUAAUGUAGUCCCCGUCCUCCUCCCUGCUUCUUCUACAAGGGGCAACACUGAAACGGAGGAUGAGGAAGCUGAGAGGCAGCCCUACCCCCUGGAAUGAUGG
rnacentral:lncRNA from 1 species